GAAAGGGGAAGAGCUCGUAGCCGAAUCCUGGGCCUUCGGCCUUGGAAAUGUGGCGUGUGGGAGGCGGCAUCCUCCCUUCCUUGGCCGCGGCGCAAGUCCCCAUGAGAGGGGCUUUUCCCGGAGCGGGUGCUAGGCCCUUACCGCCGCGGGGAGGGAGGGGAGUCGCCGUUCUCCUCGGAGUCGGGUUGCUUGGGAGUGCAGCCCAAAGCGGGUGGUAAACUCCACCUAAAGCUAAAUAAGACCGAGAAGCCGAUAGCAAACAAGUACCGUGAGGGAAAGUUGAAAAGCACUUUGAAGAGAGAGUUCAAGAGUACGUGAAACCGUUUGGAGGUAAACGGGUGGGGCUUCGAAAGCCUAAGCAGGUGCCGGGUUCAAGCCUCGUCGUCGUCGAGUCCGCCUCGGGGAGGCCCCGGGAAGGGGUUACCUGGGCGGAGGAGGCGCGUCGGGGCCGCACGGCCGGAACCCUGCCGACGGGACGCCGCAACGGGUUGGACCGGCGUCGUGGGGCGAGGGGAGAAAGGUGGCCGCCGUUUCUUUAAAGGAUCGGCGGUGUUACAGGCUCCCCUGCUGCCCGAGGGUCGGUCCGACCGUGGAAGAGUAUCUCUCGAAGAGGCUCCGUGCGGAGGCAGCGUAGGUCGCCGGGCUCUCCGCCUUCUCCCUUCUCUACUCUUCGAGUGAGUUGGGAAGGAGGAGGGGUUUCCCCGGGGAGACCUUGCUAGGAGCGCGAGGUUGGCGGCGAGUAGGUCGGGCUCCCACCCGACCCGUCUUGAAACACGGACCAAGGAGUCCAAUGCGCGUGCGAGUCCCCGGGACUUGUUCAGGCCCGCGGGCGCAAUGAAAGUGAAGGGCGUCUCGGACGCCUAAGUUGGGAUCCCCUUUCUUAGGGGCGCACCAACGGCCCUUUCGAAUCCGGCCUCGGAUGGAAGGAGCGAGAGCACGUGCCUUGGGACCCGAAAGAUGGUGAACUAUGCCUGGGCAGGACGAAGCCAGAGGAAACUCUGGUGGAGGUCCGCAGCGAUUCUGACGUGCAAAUCGAUCG
rnacentral:rRNA from 1 species